rnacentral:rRNA from 1 species
CAGUAGCCGCGGGAAUACGGAGGGUGCAAGCGUUACUCGGAAUCACUGGGCGUAAAGGACGCGUAGGCGGAUUAUCAAGUCUCUUGUGAAAUCUAACGGCUUAACCGUUAAACUGCUUGGGAAACUGAUAAUCUAGAGUAAGGGAGAGGCAGAUGGAAUUCUUGGUGUAGGGGUAAAAUCCGUAGAUAUCAAGAAGAAUACCUAUUGCGAAGGCGAUCUGCUGGAACUUAACUGACGCUAAUGCGUGAAAGCGUGGGGAGCAAACAGGAUUAGAUACCCCCGUAGUCCCUGUCUCUUAUAC